CUUUGGGAUAACCCUCGGAAACGGGGGGCUAAUACCGGAUAUGACUUCCUGUCGCAUGGUGGGGAGUGGAAAAGUUUUUCGGCCUGGGAUGGACUCGCGGCCUAUCAGCUUGUUGGUGGGGUAAUGGCCUACCAAGGCAACGACGGGUAGCCGGCCUGAGAGGGCGACCGGCCAUACUGGGACUGAGACACGGCCCAGACUCCUACGGGAGGCAGCAGUGGGGAAUAUUGCACAAUGGGCGGGAGCCUGAUGCAGCGACGCCGCGUGAGGGAUGACGGCCUUCGGGUUGUAAACCUCUUUCAGCAGGGACGAAGCGUGAGUGACGGUACCUGCAGAAGAAGCGCCGGCCAACUACGUGCCAGCAGCCGCGGUAAGACGUAGGGCGAGAGCGUUGUCCGGAUUUAUUGGGCGUAAAGAGCUCGUAGGCGGCUUGUCGCGUCGACCGUGAAAACUUGGGGCUCAACCCCAAGCCUGCGGUCGAUACGGGCAGGCUAGUGUUCGGUAGGGGAGACUGGAAUUCCUGGUGUAGCGGUGAAAUGCGCAGAUAUCAGGAGGAACACCGGUGGCGAAGGCGGGUCUCUGGGCCGAUACUGACGCUGAGGAGCGAAAGCGUGGGGAGCGAACAGGAUUAGAUACCCUGGUAGUCCACGCUGUAAACGUUGGGCGC
rnacentral:rRNA from 1 species